rnacentral:lncRNA from 1 species
UAGUUUCAGGAAAAUACAUAUUCAAAAACAGCUCCUCAAAUUCUGCCCAAGCGACGGACUUAACAUCACGGAUCCUUUUAACAAAUUCCCACCAGUAGUGAGCCGCUCCAAUAAGACAGUAUGUGGCAAACCCAACUUUUAGGUCUUCGGGGACGUCACUUACAUCAAAACAUUGCUUUAUCCUUUCGAGCCACUCCACCCCUUCUAACGGUUCAUCAAGAUUUCCUGCGUACUGCGGGGGCGACAGACUAAUGAAAACCUUCAAAAAUUUCAGCCUCUGAUCAAUUCCGGAUGUGCCCUCAAGCGCAAGGCCAGCCAUUUGCUUGAUGGCUUGCAAAACCUUAGCCACGUCCUCAUCAUGUGAGGCCGUGGGAUUGGAUGAAGUAGCGUCACCUGUUCUAGGCACAUCUUUCUGAAAUUUCAGCAAACAAAACAUUAGCUUUCAUCACCUGAGCAAUUACCCAUCAUGCCGCUGAAAUCUACCAACUUCAGAAAUACCAAACGAGAUUACAUACGAGUCGAAUCGAAAGCUAAAGUUUAAAUACACCAUCACUAUCAUCACAGUAUUCACCACGACACAAAUUUUUUCCAACGAAUGGCAUAGCUGUAAGAAUAUUAAUCAUCUAUAAGGCAUUCUCUAGAGAUGAAACACAGUACACAUUUUCUUUGGUUUUUCUUAGAAAAGCAAAUCAGAAAGCAGACUCAAGUAACACUGCAGAAUACAUCAUCAAUCUGAGUUUGACAACAAAAACGCCUAACAAACAUCAUCGUACUUGCUACAACUCCCAAAAAAAUACAAUCAGUGAACACAAGCAAUGCUAAAUUACUAGAAAAAAAUCAUCAUUCUAUAAGUACAGAGAAAGGGAAACGACUAGAGGCGUUCACUCCAUAAAUUUCUUAAACCAAUCAAUCUGAACAUCAAGAUAAUUAAAGGCAAUGAAAAAUUCUAUGUUUAUUUUAAUUAAAAGUCUUGGCAGAUAGCGAGUACAGCCAUAUUCUCUUCACUCCGGGAAGGACCCUAAGCAUCUCAAUCACCUCCUGACUUAUCCAUCCCCUCCAAGAUGCCACAUUCUGGCUCACUCAUAAGUAAUUUGGUACUUAUGAGUCGAACUUAAGACAUAGCACUUACCAUUAGAGAGAAAUAUCACUAGAUUGUAGUACUAAGCAACAAAACCUAAACAUUCUUGAAUAAAAUAAACAAUUAUAUCAAUCCCUGAGGCUUUUCCCUUUGGUUAAUCUACCAGUGGUCAUUGUAAUUAAUUAAUCUCACAACUUAGAUUAAGUUAAUAGAUGAAAUUUAUAGGUCAAGCUUUUUUCUUUCAGCUAAAUUGCACUUAUACACACCACACCCAUGCAUGCAUGCAUACCAUCGCUACAAAUUCUUCAUCUUUCAACAACAGAAAACAACAAACUAAGUUGCAGAAGAGAAAACCCAGAAAAUAAAAAAACAGAAUCAGAACGAACUUCCACCAGUAACUAACUAACUAACCAACCUUCAUAUCAAAUCUGCAGAAAUAUUCCAGCCCUCUGAUCCGAUCGUACAAAUUUCUUUACCUUAUUGUCUCAGAAUUCGUUCACUAGCCUUCAGUUAAGCUCCAAGAAGUCAAAUUGGGCAAAAACAAGCUUGAAAUCGAAGAUUUGAGCUUAAUUAGUCAAAAAUCCCAAACUGAACGAAUCACUGAAAUAUAAAUAAUAAUCCUCAAAAUUUACCUCAGAACGCUCGUUGGGUUCGAUUCACUUUUUCAAUCGGACUUCCGGAAUGAAAGUUACGAAUUUUGAGAGAUUGCAGGAAAGUUUUUUCUUUCUCUGUUUCUCUUUUUUCUACUCGUGCUUCUGUUCAUCGAAGACGAAGAGCAAGCAGGGAUGUUAUCCCGCGCUUUUGCCGCUCACCCUUCACUUCAGGUGUCCAAUGGUAGCUGGCCAUGUGGCAGGACAAAGAGAAAAUCUUAGACGUGUGGUAAGAUCAGCCACUCCUCGGAUGCCACGUGGCUCACUCUUCCGUUGAAUUUGAAAAUGCCAUUCGAGCUCAAAAAACUAGGAAAUGGAUCGAUCCGAUUUUUACAUUUUAGUCAUUCAUCGUAUAUCACGUGGUCAGAAAUCAUUUGAUUUUUCUUUAUUUAAAAUUAAACACAAAUAGUAUUUGACGAGAAAUGAUCAUAUGAUAAACGAUGAAUAAGUAAAAUGUAAAGAUCCUUAGGAUUCUCACAAAGUAGAUCCGAAGAAAAUCCCUUUCCAAACAACCAAUCCAAAAAAUACUACCAACUCGUCAAUCACCUUGACUUUCUUUGUGUGAUGUCCAAAUCGUCAUAUGACCUCAAUAAAAUUUCACUUAUUUUCCUCCAUUAUAAACCAAAAUAAAAUUUACAAGAACAUGAGGCAUGAGUUGAUCCUUUUUGCCGGUAAAAAAUAUCACGGAUAUCACGGGUCUCGCACUUUGUGAAGAGGUAGGCCCUUACCAUUUGCGAGUUAUCAAUUCCACAUCGUAUAAAAGACAAGAACACAAUGUAGGUCUUUACUAGGACGGAAACAAGCCUUGCGAGUCACAAAUGGUAAAUACUUACAUUGUUUUCUUGUCUUUCAUACGACAUGGAAUUGAGUACUCGCACAUAUAUCAUCGGAACUGUUUUAUGAAAUUCUCACCACAAAAACCUAAUCAUUGAAAUUGGUCCUUUCAUGUUGUCUCGAUCUUUUGGACACAAUUUUGUGCUUUCUUUAAGCGGUAACACUAAUUACCAAACUUUCUAGUUCAUGUAUGUUACUCAAAUGUGGGUUAAAAAAAUAAAAGACAAGGGCUUUCUAAGUAAUCAAAACGAAGCGAUUAAUAUAAUGGGUAAACUACGGUUUGACCUCCUAAACUAUUAUUUCAUUUAAAAUUGAUCCUUGAAUUAUUUUUUUGACAAAUUAAUCCCUCAACUGUUUAAAAUCAGGCAAUUAAUCAUUAUCGUUCGAUUUCAUUCACUAUUUCGUCAAAUUCAAGGACAAAUUAGCAUCAUGAAUUCUUACUUGUCAGUUGGAACCCUCAAUAAAAUUAUGACAUGUGGAAACAAAAUAAUAAAAAAACUUAUAGCAUAAUAAGAAAACUUUUUAAUUAUAAUAAAUAAAACAAAACAAAAAUCCUGAAUGACCAACCACCCAUUCUCCACCCACAUCAACCUGUGAUGGGGGAAGAGGGUGGUUGCGGUUUAUUAUUUAUAAUUAAAAAUGUUUUCUUAUUAUGCUAUAAAUUUAUGAAUUAUUUUAUGUCCACGUGUUAUAAUUUAAUUGAUGGUUAUAGCUGACAAGUAAGAAUUCAUAAUGAAAAGACUAAUUUCCCUUGAAUUUGACGGAAUAGUGGACUAAAUCUAGCAACAAGGGGUUAAUUGAUUGAUAGUUUAGGGGGUUAGAUUACCAAAUAAAUAGUUCAAGGGGUUAAUUUCAACUGCAAUAAUAGUUCAAGGGGUCAAACAUUCUAUCUUAAUACAAUAGCAAGUUCGAAUCCUCCUCUCGUAGUUUACACAUGACUUUAGUGUCAAUUUCUCAUUGUUUGUCAAAUAUAUAUAUAUAUAUAUAUGGGUUAAGAUUCAAGGACACGCUUUUGACAUACAUUUUUAUACGGCCCACUCUGUAAUGUAUUUCAACGAUGCAACUAUCUUUUAUAUCUUACCUCAAAGAUCAUUGUUUACAAAAAAUAACCCAAAUCUAAAAUUAUAAGAUUGUUGGAUUAUAUUUUGUGUUUCUUUUGUAGAACUAUAUUCAUCCAUUUUCUUUCCUACAAGUCAAUGUCUUAAUGGUUUUGGAUGUCUACUUUUUUGUUAGGAUCAUCUAUGAAUGAUGUACUAAAAUAUAGACAGUUCAGAUCUUUAAAUACAUUACAAAGUGAGCUUAUUAUAAUAGAUGUCAAAAUGUGUAUCAAAAGUGUCUCGGAACUUAAACCUUGUAUAUAUAAUUGGGAUUCCAUUGAUUAGCAACUAGCAAGUGACACUUUGACCCCUACAAAACAGAUUCUCUAUUCACAAAGGUCCAAAGGAACAAAAGUCAGACAGAUAGAUACAUACCAAAACAAAAGUCAGGCAUAUUGAAAGUCUUACAAACUAUUAUCCAUACACUACUAACUUGGAGUUGAAACCAUUUUUGCCUUCCAUCAUUAGGAUGAGAUUUUGAGAUAACUUUCAAAAAGCACGCGAGUUUAAUUCCGGGCAAUUAGGCCGAAUAUGACCAGGCUCGCCGCAGUGGUGGCAAAUGUACUGCUUUCUUGGCCUUUUUUCCCGUACACUAGAACCUUCCUCAAACGACUCUUCUUCGCUGUCCUCAAAAGAUUGUUCCACUCUUAACGCCGCUGCCACCAUGUCACCAUAAGUACUGAACUUAGCUACCCUUGCUCUUAUGGAAGGCCUCAGUCCCCUUUGAAAUUUCGAUGCUGUAUAUUCAUCUGAACUCACAAGAUUAGUUCGUGCAUACCAUGCUAGCUCGAGGAACUUAGAUGCAUACUGAGCAACAGACAUGUUUUGUUGGGUCAACCCUUGAAAUUCGUCGCAUUUAGCAUCCCUUACAGUUUCAGGAUAAUACAUAUUCAAAAACAGCUCCUCAAAUUCUGCCCAAGUGAUGGAUUUAACAUCACGGAUCCUUUUAACAAAUUCCCACCAGUAGUGAGCCGCUCCAAUAAGACAGUAUGUGGCAAAACCAACUUUUAGGUCUUCGGGGACAUCACUUACAUCAAAACAUUGCUUUAUCCUUUCGAGCCACUCCACCCCUUCUAAAG